rnacentral:lncRNA from 1 species
GUUCUUGAGACUCGGCGAGUUGAGUCGUGGUGGCCCUGCGAUUCAUGCCAGUUGGAACUCGUCGAGUCAGGGAAGUACUCGACGUGUCAAAAGAGGAUCCUAGGGAGACAGUGAACACGUAUAAACUCGCCGAGUCGCUUUAGUGCACUCGCCGAGUCCGGUCAAAGUUGACCGUUGACCAUUGACCAGAGUUGACCACUGUUGACUUGAUAGGGGUAGUCAACCUUAGUUGAGAAAGUGUUAAUUCGAGAUAUAUUGUGUUAUAGGAGGAUUGUAGCUCGAAGGAUCGAGCGCGAGCGAUUUCCGGGAUUUGCGAGUUAUCGAGAUACGCGAGGUGAGUCUUCUCACUAUACUUUACCUUGAGUAGGUAAUCAGAGUUAUGUGACAGAGUAUUUGUAUGCUAUAUGUAUGUUAUGUGUUGUACUGCAUUAUUUCUAUGUGAUUUAUGUUGUGCAUGCUUAUAGAAAUGGAACCGGAAGGUUCCCAGAGUUGGAACCAGAGGGUUCGCAGAGUAGGGUCUACGGACCCACAGAGUUAUAGCCUCGAGUGGCUAAUAUGUGNNNNNNNNNNNNNNNNNNNNNNNNNNNNNNNNNNNNNNNNNNNNNNNNNNNNNNNNNNNNNNNNNNNNNNNNNNNNNNNNNNNNNNNNNNNNNNNNNNNNNNNNNNNNNNNNNNNNNNNNNNNNNNNNNNNNNNNNNNNNNNNNNNNNNNNNNNNNNNNNNNNNNNNNNNNNNNNNNNNNNNNNNNNNNNNNNNNNNNNNNNNNNNNNNNNNNNNNNNNNNNNNNNNNNNNNNNNNNNNNNNNNNNNNNNNNNNNNNNNNNNNNNNNNNNNNNNNNNNNNNNNNNNNNNNNNNNNNNNNNNNNNNNNNNNNNNNNNNNNNNNNNNNNNNNNNNNNNNNNNNNNNNNNNNNNNNNNNNNNNNNNNNNNNNNNNNNNNNNNNNNNNNNNNNNNNNNNNNNNNNNNNNNNNNNNNNNNNNNNNNNNNNNNNNNNNNNNNNNNNNNNNNNNNNNNNNNNNNNNNNNNNNNNNNNNNNNNNNNNNNNNNNNNNNNNNNNNNNNNNNNNNNNNNNNNNNNNNNNNNNNNNNNNNNNNNNNNNNNNNNNAGUGGCAACAUCGGAAGGGAUCCGAGUUGACCUGGGAGCCAGAGCGUGAGAUGCGGGAGCAGCAUCCGGAGCUAUUUCAGGAAUGAGACUUCGAGGGCGAAGUCAGAUUCAAGUGGGGGAGAAUUGUAACAUCCGGAAUUUCAGGUAUUAUAUUUAUUGAUUUUAUUUUGAGUUUUGUGGAAUUACUCGGCGAGUUGGUGCGUAGACUCGUCAAGCAGAGACACGAUUUCUCACCCGGAUUAAUGACCGGACUCGACGAGUCGCAUUGGUGGACUCGGCGAGUCUGCGUUGUUUAAUGAAACCCUAAUUUCUUGGGUUUGGGGGCUAUUUAAAGGGCCUUAUGGCCGUCAUUUGUGCUCACCAGUCCCCAGAGCAAAACCCUAGUGAUCUUGAGCGUUUGGAGUGAGAGAAGGAGCCAUUGUUGACCUUGGAGGUGUUAUCUAGCAAGGGAGAGGAAGCUAUAGCCAAGGGGAAACAAGAGGAUCAACUUCCUGAAGAUCUGAGGUCCAGAACAUCACGUUUGAGGUACUAUUUUCAAACCAUUUUCUGUUAAGGUGAUGUUCAUGUUGAUUUAGGGCUUAUUGAGCCCUUUUGUGGCUAGAUCUAGUGCUUCCUUGGUCCCUUAAGCGAGUUAGGUUAUGGAUCUGGACCCUUGGACGUCUGGAGUGUCCCUUUGUCCAAGCUUUUUAUGAAUCCAUGGAGGUUUUGGUUUGGGAUCUUUGUGCUUGAGGUCAAAACACCAUUUAUGAGUCAUUAGGUGUGUUAUGAGCACCAAGACAUGAUGUCACACCCAUGAACCAGACGGCGGAAACGUCCGAGGGCUAUUGUGACUCAAUUGAAUACCAUCACAAUGAAUAUACAUGAAUCAUAACAUCUUUCAUUACCAUGCAUUGAAAUAUUACAACCGGUAUUGUUUACAUUCAGUAGAUUGUUUGAAAACAUUACAUUUCCAAACAUAAGCCAUUCGAUAUUAAUUAAACAAACAUCAUGACAUCACUGGAUACAUUUUUCUUCAAUUUACUUGUUACCUGAGAAUACAAGUAUUUUGGAAAAACGUCAACAUAUGAAAUGUUGGUGAGUUCAUAAGUAAGGUUUGAAAAGAAAUGAUUUGUAUAGUUUUGAAAACCUCAUAAAAUCCGAUAUUUUCAAAAAAAAAUGUUGUAUAUGAGAAAAUGUGUGAAGAUCUGUAAGUAUGCUUGUUGAUUAUUAUAAACGUGAAUAAUUGUUAGACUUUGUAUAUAUAUAUCACAUAAUCAAGAGUGUUGAAUUUCCCAGGGAAAACCCGAUGUUUUCCCAAUACAUCAAAUUACGUGGCUUAGUUAGUAUUAUUCCGAUACGACGUUGUUUUCUAUAAUUCCAGGUGACAUUGGAUUAAUUACGGGUUGUGAGUCGUUAUAAUCACGCAUUAAUGAAAAUGACUAGUUUACAACUAUACAAACGAUCCCUUAGGCGUCGUCCGUACUACUCACUUAAUCCAACCACCCUGACUUCUCAUAGCCCCACAACCGAGGAGAAAAGAGGGUGCGAAGCCCCCGUUAUUUCCAUAAGUCGUUCAAGGCUAUUGUGAAUGCGAAAGGCACUUGGCCCGACUCGCAUUUGACUUCUUGACUUUGCUAGCAGUACCAAAGGACCCUUGGGGCCCAACAGCACUAUGAAGCUAUUGAAAGUCCUUUUACACAGAAUUAGGUCAUAUAAGGCCCAAUAACAUGUAAGCGCGUUCCCUUCGGGCCUAAAGAUCAUGUCAUUGGGCUAGCUAGGCCCAACAAGCACGAUUUGAAACUUUCGAGCCCAAAGAUGGUGUAUUGACUUCUCGUAAAUUUCCACGUGUGUAUUGAAGUAUCAUUGUUUAUUGAUUUUUGAUUCAUUAUUGAUUCGAGACCGAAUCAAUUCGUUUGCUAACGAUUUUAGUGUUGAAGGUGUAUUUAUUAUUACGUUUCGCCGGUAGACGUAGUACUCGUAUUUUUAUUUUAAGGGAUCCAUUGUUUUAAGAAUGUAAGUUUAUCUUCUUAAGCCCUUCCUCGGAUAAAAUUUACUCUUUUAACCCUUUGAGUAUAAAGAAUUUCCNGUUUAGUCCUUAAACUUUUUUUCUUGACACUUUAGUAUCAAAAACUUAUUGGAAAGACAUUUUUAGCACAAAUUUACUUGAUAAACAGCUUAAGUCCUUCAAAAAUGAAAUUUUCUCGGAUGAAACCUCCAUUUUCUCAACUUUUACAAUUUUUACCCAUAAUGGAAAAUUUUUGCAACUUUGGUCCCUUUUUAAUUGGAAAAUCAUUUUUGACCCUUGAAAUAGAUUUGGUACACUAGUAAUCCCCUGUUUUAUAGAAAUGUGCAGUUUCAGCCCCUCCAACUCAAAAUUUUCGCAAUUUGGGGCUUUAUUGGGCCGAAAAGCCCAUUUUGGCCCAUUAUGUUUAAAUUUCACAUUUUUAACCCUUCACAAGUGUUGAUAUUCAGAAAAUAAAUGUUAGAAACUAUUUAGUCUCAUCUCAACCUUCAGAAUCUAUAUUUUGUCGUUUUGGGCCCCUUAGUUUUGUAUUUUUAGCAUUUUUAGCCCAAAAAUGGGUUUUAAGUCCAAAAAUGUUCAUAUUAACCAACUUGGUUAUUUUUGUAGACUUAAUUAGUGAGAAAUGGUAUAACUUAUACUUAUUUCAUUCAUCACAUUGUAGAUCUCGGUUUUUAGGUUCUUUUGGCUAGUAUAAACAUCACAAUCACAUAAGACAUACAUAUAANCACACAAGGCAUACAUAUACUCAUAGAUCUACACAUUUGCUUGUAUUCUCCCCAACAAAACUUAUAAAACCCAAAAAAGAGGGGGUAUGAAGCUUACCUUUGGGUGUGGUUUCGGUUUUUGGAAGAAAAUGAGAAGAAUUUCGGACUUAGCAACCUUCCUUGGAAGAUUUCGAACUUGGAUGCUUCUUUGGUGCCAGAUCAUGAGUUUGAAUGAAUUAAGAGGUGAUUUUUGGAUGAAAUGAAGUAGCUCGUUUAAGGAUCUAAGAGAUUUCUUACCUUAGAUGAUGAUUUUUUUUGUGUAAAAUCCCCUUGAUUCCUUCUUAGAUCUCGAAAUAUGGAUGAGUUAUGAGAGUGUUUCCUUGAGAGAAAAGUGAGUGAAAUGUGUGUGUGUGUGUGCUUGAACUCGGCCGAGAGCAAGAGAGAGAGGGAGAAAAAGAGUAGCUAGACUUGGAAGUAUGUGAGUGCAUGGAUGUUUGAGUCUUCAUGCAUGGAUGUCCCUUGAACAAUUGUGAGGUGUCACUCACAAAGUCAACUCUCCUGUUCUUUUGGGCUUGGGCCGAGAAUGGGGAGGGUGAGAGGAGGUUUUUGGGCUUUUUUCCCUUAAGCCCAUGUUAUAGCUAGGUUGGAUGAUUUUUGGCCCUAAAAAAAAUAUACAUAUGAUUUUUAUGACCCAUUAGGUUAGAUUAGGUUAAUUAUGGUCCAAAAUGGUUCAUAUAAUUAAUCUAUCUCAUUCUAGGCCCAAUAUGGCCUAAAAUAUGGAAUUAAAUGGAAGUGGGUCCAAUUAGAGCCCAUUUAAGAGUUCUAAGCCCAAGAUAGCCAAAUUGGAAGCUUAUUGGUCCAUUGGGCCCAAUAAGGAAGUCCUAGUCCAAAAUGGACUUAAACAAGAACUUCUAGGGUUUCCAAUUGCUUAAUGACUAUUUGAAUUGCUUGCAUGGGGUGUUUGAUUGAAAUUUUUGCUAACAUAGAGUAUGCAUCAUAUAUGCUCUUAUGUUUUUGAUUCAUAAAUUGGUUUAAGUGUUGGUUACAAGGCACAAAAUUUCCUAAAUGUGACACAUGAACUUUACGUGAUAAAUAAGCUUGGAAGGCCUGGAUCUAUGAGUUAGUGGAGCAGAUCUGACCUCAGAAGGUCGUUUGGGGUUGUGCAUGGAAUGCACUCGCCGAGUCCAUUUCCAGACUCGACGAGUUGGUGCAGGUUGUUCAGUGAUUUUGAACCAGGGGUUGAGUAACCGAAUCGGGUGAGUGACUUGGUGAGUCGGAAGGGACUCAGAAGAAUUGGGUUCCCGUAAGGACUCGGCAAGUCCAUGCUAGACUCGGCGAGUUGAGUUGACCGUUGACCAUUGACUAGAGUUGACCGGUGUUGACUUGAUAGGGUUAGUCAACCUUAGUUGGGAAAGUGUUAAUUAGAGAUGUAUUGUGUUAUAGGAGGACUAUAGCUUGGGAGAUCGAGCACUAGUGAUUUUAGGGAUUUACGAGUUACCGAGAUACCCAAGGUGAGUCUUCUCACUAUACCUUACCUUGAGUAGGUAAUCAGAGUUAUGUGACAGAGUAUUUGUAUGCUAUAUGUAUGUUAUGUGCUGUACUGCAUUAUUUCUAUGUGAUUUGUGCUGUGCAUGUUUAUAGAGUUGGAACCGGAAGGUUCACAGAGAUUGAACCAGAGGGUUCACGGAGUAGGGUCCACGGACCCACAGAGUUAUAGCGUUGAGUGGCUAAUAUGUGUUAUGUGUGGUAUUUUGAGGAACUCACUAAGCUUUGUGCUUACAGUGUUUGGUGUUAUUUGUUUCAGGUACUAGUGAGGAUCGCGGGAAGGUGUCGGCCUAAUCAGUACACACACGGGAUUUUAUGUUAUGAGAUCUUGGGAUUUUUAUAUUCUACUAAUUCGAGUUUCAAAUAAUGAUGUUUUUAUGAAUAUUGAAUGAAUUGUGUUUUGUAUAAAAUGCAAAAAAUUGUUUUGAAAUUUACGGUGUUACAGCCUUGAUUAGUUUCUAUUGUAUUGAUGCCUUGUUUAUUUGUUCAAGCUUUAAAAAUCGUUUUUUGUACCCCUGAAUGAUGAACUCGGCGAGUUCCAAAGUGGACUCGGCGAGUAGCUUCAACACGGCGAGUUCAAAGUGGAAGUCGGCGAGUUCGAGCGUCAGUUAGGGCAAAUUUCGGGAUUUCUUGUUGUUUUGCUUGAGGAUACUUGCCUUAAUUGUUUUGGGUCAUUAAUAUUAAAAUUUUUAUAUAUAUAUUUGAGUAUAUCCUUGACCAAACAAAAGAUAAUUACCAUUUGAUUAAAUGAUAAUUUCCUUAUAUGAUAAUAAUUGAUUAUUUGAAUUAAAUUGGUAAAUUGCCUUGCAAAGUAAUAGUGACUAGGUCAAAUUUAGAUAAUCAUUAAAUUAAUUGUUUAAUUUAAGUGAUUUGCUAUUUGAUCCUCAAAUCACACCCUUAUGGUUUUAUUAAUUAAUUAAAGUGUAUAAUUAAAAGAGAUUUUAUGAACCCAUAAAGUUUUGGUUUACAUUUAAAUAAAUUAAAAGUAUAAUUUGCUAAAUUAAAUCACCUAGUAUUUUAAAAGUGUAAAAUACACUCUAUACUAUAUAUAUAUAUAUAUAUAUAUAUAUAUAUAUAUAUAUAUAUAUAUAUAUAUAUAUGUAACAUUAAAAGUCUAAUAUUAUAUAUAUAUAUAUAUAUAUGAGUAAACAGCCAGUCUUACCGUUAGUAGGCCUCAUUCACGAAGCUGGUCUAUAAGGGGUGUUUAAGGAAAUUGCCUAUAAAAUGGCGAUUGAAUGGGUAUCCACUCUUACCCACCGCACUCUUGACUAGUGGAGGGUCGUUAGCCGAACGGGUAGGAUAGGACAGAAACCUUCCAUUAUAAGUAUAAUGAAGUACAAAAGUAACUAAAUGCUUUUACAAAAUUCCCAAUCUUAGUUACUUUAGGCAAAAGUGAAUUGAUGCAAUUCCAUGAAAUUACACUUUGUGCCCUUGCGAAGACGUUAGUGGAGCGUGUGUGGUUAACUGGCACACUAAAUGGUUCUAAGCAAAGGUAGCGAAGGGUGACUCAUUGUUUGUCAUACUUCGGUGGAGCGUGUGUAGUUAACUGAUACAUCAAAUAGGUGAUUGUAACAUUGAGGGCACCAUGUAAGUUUGCAUGGUUAUUCACACCCUGUUUUGUGAUCCUCGGCAUCCCAGUCACAAAUCGAGGGGCAUAUCGAGAUUUAAACAUGCCAUUGAAAAGUUCAAUGAAUCUCAAAAGAUCUAGGAAUUUUCAAUGGAUUUAAUACUUAAAUUUCUUUUUCGUUUUUCAUGGUGAAAAUUAGUGAAUCGUCAUUCACUUACCUUCAAAUGUUCUGCAAUUUGGGUUACGACAUCCAACUCCCAAGUUGUAGAGUAUUGUGUUGGGUCCUAGCCUUAAUAUCUCAUUUGGGUGAUUUAUUAAGGACUCAAUCAAUCAACUAACUUGAAUUUUUCUCCUGUUUUGUAGAUGUCAAAGUAUGACAACUAUGGUCUUCCCAAAUCCCAUGGAACAAGCUUUUCACAUGAAGAUGAUAUUCCAUGAUUCGAUCGAGGAACACGAGAUCAUGCUUCACUUCCUCCACCUCCUCCUAUUGUUCUCCCUAACCCACAAGUUCAAAAGAUUGAAAAGUUCAAACUCACUCAAGCCCUUUUGGCAAGUUAACAUGAAGAAGGAAAGUCAGUGUGUGCACACGUCCUAGAGAUGAAGUCACACAUUGAUAGGUUAAGAAUGUUGGGAUCUGUUGUCUAUGAGGAGUUGGCUGUUGACUAGGUUCUUCAGUCACUUCCUGACUCAUAUAGUGAGUUCGUAAGAGAGUACUAUUUUAUGAACCACGACGUAACCCUCAUCUAUCUCACCUAUAUGCUUAUUGUUGUUGAAUCAACAAUGAUUUGGCGCAUUGGAAAAGCAAAGUUAAUUGGUGGAUCUGUAUUCCAGACCUCUAUGUAUAUAGGCAAUGGAAAUGAAAGGCAUGCCAUGAUCGAAAAGUUUGAUCAUAAGAGAAAGGCAAAGUCGGAAGUUGUUCGGUGUGUUGUUCCAAAAGAGUCAAUUUGCUUUUAUUGCCAAGAGAAGGGGCAUUGGAGACAAAGCUACCCUAUUUAUCUAAGAGAUCUAAGAGAUGGGAGAGUCAAAAUGUAUGGCUCUACUUAAGGUAAAAUCCAUUAGCUAACUCUUUUAAGUUCCUAUUCUAGAUUCUUAAUACAUGAUGUGAUAAGAUUACAUUUCGAUGUUUUGUAGGUUCAAAGAAAAGAGAGGAAACGUAAGGAAAGAAGUGAGCGGAAUCUAAUCGUGAAGAAAUGGAUUUCGAUCGCAUUACUUGAAGAUUAGAAUCUUGAGCUACUAAUCGGAGUUAGAAUAAGAUUGCUAAGAAAUAUAUAUUAACAUAGUUUUUCAAUUGAAUUGCAUUGACAAAUUUUUCCGCAAUAAAAUAAAUUUUGAUUUUAUAUUAUUUAUUUAUCCUUGCAAUGGCGUGUAUGAAAAUUUGAUGUUUGUAAGUUUCUAUUAUUAGCAAUAAUGGAUGUGAUUCUUAAUUAUGUUAUUUGUGGAAAUGUCAAGAAUUUAGCAAAUAGGGAAAGUUUCUCAUCACCCAAGUUUCAAUUGGACAGAAACAUGGAAUCAUACAACUUGGUUGCAUAAUGAAUGAGAAAUUUCAUAUUUGGAAAUUAGACUAAUUCGUUGACAAAGUGUCAAGUGAAGGAUUACGAGAUCAAGUACACAAGGUUGUGUGUUGAUCAAGUCCACCACAAGAGUGACAAAGAUAUUUGUCAUGAUUUACUAAAGGUUUAGUAAAUAUGAUUAUACUUAUAAGAUUAAGUGUAAUUCCGAGUUGAUUGAAAGAGUUUAAAUCAAUAGCAGAAGGAAUAAGAAGAAUCAAGUAGGCAGAAAGAUAAAAGUUUAUCUAUUCUAAGAAGAAGGGAGAGUACCUUUUAUUAUGUUUUAUGAUAGGUCUUAAUGAUUAAGAACCAUAUCUCAAUUGAUCCUCUAAGUGAGUUUUAGUGCAAUUGUAUGUCUGAGAAGAGGAAUCAAGAAUUGAAGAAAUGGUUAAAUCAAAAAGUCAAUCAUACUUCGUUCCAAAAACAAGUCUUAGAGUUAAUAUUUUGAAUUGAGUGACAAGUCUUAAGAAGGUUUAUAACAUACAUUAAUGUGGAAUUUGAAUAAGGUUUUCUUAUUCAUGCACAUUUGAAAUUGGAAAGUUGUGAUGUCUUGGAUAAGACAAAGACCAACUAGGACCAAUUUUGUGAAGUGUUUUGUCUUGAUAAAAGCGACACUAACUCUUGAAUAUUUGUUUGUCGAGAAAUGUUUAUUGACAAAAGAAUCUUAUAUGUCAAGGAGUCAGUGGGAGUCUUAAUGGUCUUGAAAAGUUUCAAGAUCUAAUCAAGAAUAAACCUUAUCAAUCAUCACUAGCACACGACUUGAGGUUUAUGACCUAUCGUGUUGACAUUAUUUUGUUUCUAUGCCAUUCCAAUUGAGUUAAUUAUGCGUGUGAGUUCUAUGAGUUCUCAUUUGAACACAUAAAAGGCAAACACCUUGAUCAAUGAAAAGUACAUUGAUAUGAAAGGGUGAGCUGCUUAACUACUUGGAAGACAUGGUGGGCUCUCGUGUUACCAUAAGGCAAGAAAUCAAGAUUGAGAAAGUUCAGUCCAUAUGAGUUUGGAUUUGUCGCAAACUUUGGUUUUGACAAAUUCACAUGGAUAGGAACAGAUACACCAUAAAAUCUAAGUGUCAUAAGAUUACCUCCUUCAUGAAAAUGACUGUGAGGAAAUGCUUUCACUAAGAGAGAUUUUAAGAAGAUAGUGAUUGUGAAAAUUGUAUUCUCGAAUUCGAUUAUGGUAACGGUAUCCAUUUCCAUAAUUCGAAUUGUGAGAUUUGGCAAUUAGUCUUAAUUGUUUAGACACACAUAUGAGCUAUCUAAGGCAAAGGUGUAUAAGUUUAUGAAGCUUAGAUAAAGUAUUAUCAAAGCAUUAGGUAUUAGAAAUAUGAACUUUAGAAAUUAAAUAAGUAUUGUUUUCUGGAAGUUCAGUUGUUUUCUAAAACAUGUCAAAACUAGUGGGAGCAUCAGUGUUAUGCUUAUAUGAUAAUAAUCAUCAUGAUAGUGGGAGCAUAAAUUUUGUGCUUGUAAGAUUAUUAAGGCAAGUAUUGCAAGUUAGCAAUAUUAAUUAUAGAAAACAAGAGUUAUACUUUGCAAAGUCGUAAGGGUUGAAUAGUUGUUUUGCUAUAAUUAAGGGAGAGAAUAUUAUGCUUCAUUUCAAAUCUAAAGGCUUAGGUUGUGGAAUGUUAAUAAAUUUAGUCAAGGAUACAUAGUGUGUUCUCAAAUUUCGAUUAUGAAUAUGGCAUCCCUAUUCAUAGUUCAAAUUGUGAGAACGUGGCACAUAAAAAUAUUAUGGCAAAAGAUUGAUAAAGUAUCAGAUCUUUAUGUAAGACAUUAUGGAUUGAGUUCCAUACACUUCGGGUAUAUGAUCGAUUAUAAAUGCUAUAAUAUUUGACCAUUCUUAAAUUUUCCAAGUGUCUAGCGCAUUUUGAGGGAAAAAGGACAAGAAUCGGUUUUGACUAAAAUAAUUAAAGAACCAUGAAAGGACGAUCCAAAGCUCGUUGAGGAUUGGUCGCUUGUGAGUAGUUGGAAGUAUGGUAUUGGAUGGACCAUAUCGACAUUAUUAUGAAUAGAUAAGGCUCUGUUAACAAUAAGUUGUCGUAUGGCAAAAUAUGGAAAUGUUUCCACAUUGGGAGUUGGAUAUUAAGAAUCUAUGUCUAAAUUAGAAACUUUUAUGCAGGAAGGAUGUUCAAAGGAAUGUACUUUGAGUGAGAAACAUCAUAUCUAUAGAAUUGUUUCUGAUAGAGAUUGACCAAGUCUUGAUGAUUUUGAGCUAUGACUUUAUGAAAGAAUCAUUGCAUAAAAUGUUAGAAUCUAGCAUAAGUAACAAGAAUUGAUAUUCUUAUACUUAUGAUAAGGAUUGGGAGUCCAUGGGUUGCUUAGGGCCUAUGCAGUCAAAUUAGGGUUUCCUUGUUAGAUAACCCUAAUAGCCUCACUAUUUAAAGGAUCCUUAGGACUCAAAAACGUGGUGAACUAAUUGAUUAGGGUUUCCAGCCGUUUUUGGGUGUCUCUUCUCUUCUCAUUCUUCAUCCUUUUGCUCUUGGUGUUUGUGACCCAUUGGAGGAGUGACACUUGUGACUCUAAGCUUUAUUAAGCCAUUACAAGGAGGAUUUGAGAUUGUUAUUGCUACAUAACAAUCAAGGUAAGAUCUAAACCCCAUUCUUAUGUUAAUAUGAUUAAUAGUAUGCUAGAUCUAGGGUUUAAAGUCUUGGAUGAAUUGCAUGUACAAUAGAGAAACCUAGAUCCAAGCAUUAGGGUUUGCAUGAGCACAUAGGAUGUUCUUAUUGCAAAAUCCCAUCAUGCUUAUGAUUAUGAAUUAACUGCUUUUGAUGACACUGUUGCUUAUUCUGAUAAUUUGGUUAUCUCUGCUAGUAUUGAGGCUAAGAAAUCUAGUACUCAAUUACUGGAGACACAUAAGCAGUUGGAUUUGAAGAAAAUGAGAGUAGAGUAUCUUGUAUUACAAAUAACAAACUCUUGUGUGAUAGAUAUAAUUUGAACAAUGAAGUCGGGUUGUUAAUUGCUCAAAGAAACAUUUAUUGUAACUCUGUUAAAAGGUUGUAUGCAAGAUUAACUGCCUCACAUCACUCUUCUAACAUAUGUAAAAAACAACAUAGGAAGUUAUUACCAUUCUUAUGUUUCGAUAGAGAAAAGAUUGAUUGUGUGUCCUAUGAUUGAGAAAAGACAAUAUAUGAGUAUGAUAAAGUUCCUGAUAAUAGGUUUGCUUAUGGAAUUGUGAAAAUAGAUGAAAUUUGGAUGCUAAUGAAUUAGUUGACAUUGUGAAUGAAACCUUAACCAAGAAUGAACAAAUAAAGAUUUUGAAACGAACUGAGAAUUCGAAAUCUGACUCUCAGUCUUAUUUUGCUGAUAUUGAAGAUAAUUCUGAUAAUGUUAGAAAAAUUAGUGAAAUUGAGGAAGAAGAAUACACCGAUUGUUCUCAGUUGUCUAUCAUUAAUGUCACAUUUUUGACUGAAGGCGAAGAAAAAUAUAAUGAUUCAUUGGUUAAGACUGACACUAAUCAAUUCUCAACUUCGAAAGUUUGUGAUGACGAUCAUGUAAGUGUUAGAGAGAGUCAAACUGAAAGUAGUGAUGAUGAGAAGGAUGAUAAUGAAAUUUUGAAAGAAAAAACCACAACAAAUGAUGUUUCGAAACUAAAUGAAAUUCCAAGAGUUGUUGAUCAGGUGUAUCGUGAAACAGAAAAUUUUGAAAGAGUGAUGAAAGAAAAAGGUGCUCAUUAGCUAGAAACACAUUUGGUUGUGUAUCCAAAUUUCAAAUGUACAAAUGCUGUUAUCUUUCCAAACCAUGUGUUUGUCACAAUUGGGAAUGCCAGUCACAUCAAACCUAAUUUAAACAAAUUAAUCGAAGAAGAUAAUAUGCAAACAUUGAAUGAAGGCUUCUUUUCUAACCAAAGAACGGUUGAAAACAAUCUUACCAAGAAUUCAUACACGUUUCAAAGACAAAAAGAACAAUGAAAAUCGGUUGCAAAAAUAGAAAUUUCAAAGAAACAAGUCGAUGUUGAAAUUGUGCUUUCAAAUGAUAAAAGAAAUCCAUAAGAGUUUAAAGAGAAAAUUGACAAGUUUUCAAAAGAAAAUGGAAUUUCAAAGAGACAAGCACGAAAGAAAGUUUUUUGGCAAAUUUUUUAGUCUUGAAAGAAACAAAACGAUUUGAAAAAGAAAACAACUGAAAAGGCUGUGUCUGAAAAGGUUAAGACAAUGUUUUCAUCCAGUUCAGUUAAUAAGAAAUAUCCCACUCUAUCUAAAAACAAUUUGUCUCAAUCAAAUGAUUUUUCGAAAACCAAAAUUCACGAAACAAAGUUUAUGUCACAUAAUCAUAAUCAAAAAUUUAAUGAAAAAGGAAUUUUUCAAAGCACAAUCGUUGAAGAAGUUUCAUUAUACUAAUCAAACAAGGUUUUUGAAUGAUGGUUUUUCAAAGUCAUAUCAAUCACUGAACACAUCACCAUCUUUUCAACAUCGAAGUCUAACACAACAACGUUUUGAGUUAAAGGUUGAAAAUAAAAAGUUUGAUCAAUUUUAUUCAUAACGGAAUGUUAAAUCCACACCUCAAAAACCGAAUUUUCCUAGUCAUCCUACAAAACAAGCUGUCAAAGUUUCGUAUACCAAGGGUUGAUCAAAUGUGCAAAACAUAGAUCAUUGGCUUAAAGGAAAAGGGAAAUCUUAUCAAACCGGAAAAUUCUCUCUACAACAAAUCAAAAAUGCUCCUGAGAUGUAUUUGAAUGAAAUAUCGAAUGUCAGUUCAUCAUCGAAAGAUUCGACAUCUUCAUUCAAGGCAUGGCGUCCUGUUUCGAAAGAAAGGUCAACAAAGUCACAAACUGAGAAGAAAAAGCUGAAAGUCAGUGACAAUCCUAAACUUUAAAAGUGUUGUAUUUUUGAGCCUUCAACAAUUGAAGUGGACUUAAUUGAUAGUGUUAAAUCAAAAGUUUGUAAUUGGAUUUUAGGUUCUUCAUUUCAUAUUGUGUUUCAAACUAAUCAUAAAGGACCUAAACAGCCUUGGGUACCUAAAUUCUUUCAAUGAUAGCAGGUUUUAUGUGACAAGCAAUAUGAUGAAAAAUGGUAUAUCGAUAGUCGUUGUUCUCGUCAC